AGUGGUCUCCCAAUUCUAGCUGCAGAAUUUAUUUGCCAUUUUGUUCUAUAAAAGGCAGUCUCAGCUAAAGGCCUUUUCAUUGAGUAAAAGAGGAGCCUAAUAAUGAGUAUCCUUAAGAACCUCUUCAUUCUUUUGGUGGACGUUUCGGUCGUGAAUACCUUGGUAACUUACCAUGAUGCCAGAGAUAGGAUUGAAACCCUCAGGAUAAACAGGGAAUGGAUUUAUACGGAUUAUUAUUCUAAUCGAGGAUAUUGGAGAACUUGGACUGAUAAAUCGUAUGACUAUUCUUCAGAUAGAACAAUAUGCCAUUAUGAAGAUAAAAACCUAGCUCCUAAUGGCACUGUAGCGGUGGGUUUUACGAUGAAGCCGAGAGCUUAUUGUGGAAUUCUUACUUGUAUUUUAUAUAACAAUAGGCCAACAGCUCAGCCUAUUUAUCUCAUCCUUCCAGCUGCCAAGAGCCAGCCACUUUCGCUGAGUGCGAAACUGAUGGCAUAGAUACGGAGAUGAAAUACCCCGAAUGCUGCUGGAAAUCGACCGUAAUUAUAUCAUAUCAUAAUGAGUGCUGUUACACUUGGCUUGUUUCCCAGAGGGCAUUGCCGGCUAGCUGUCGACCCCAGGGCUGGGUAGUUC